rnacentral:rRNA from 1 species
GACGGAAGGUGCAAGCGUUGCUCGGAAUCACUGGGCGUAAAGGGUGCGUAGGCGGCUUGGUAAGUUGGGUGUGAAAGCCCCGGGCUCAGCCCGGGAAGGGCACUCGAAACUGCCGAGCUGGAGUGCCGGAGGGGAGAGUGGAAUUCCUGGUGUAGCGGUGAAAUGCGUAGAUAUCAGGAGGAAUACCGGUGGCUAAGGCGGCUCUCUAGUACGGUACUGACGCUGAGACGCGAAAGCGUGGGGAGCGAACAGG